CACCCCAAGUAAGCUUUGAUUUUUAUUAAUUAUUGUAGAAAUUCUGAGAUUACUGAAGCCAUUGUUGAUGUUGUAAUGGAGAGUAGUUUUGUGGAAGAAUCGAGAGAGAGAGUGAAAAAGAAGAAGAAGAAUGUUUCAUUGUUGUCAUAACAAGUGGAUAAUGAAGAAGAAGCACUGUGUUUCAGUUUCAACCACAAAUUCUUUUAAAAAUUAUUAAAGGGUAUUUAACAUUUACCUAGUUUAUCGUAUUUUAUCUCUUGUAAUUUG
rnacentral:lncRNA from 1 species